CAGAGGGGGCAAGCGUUGCUCGGAAUCACUGGGCGUAAAGGGCGCGUAGGCGGGAUGGCAAGUCGGUCGUGAAAUCCCUGGGCUCAACUCAGGGGGGUCGGCCGAUACUGCCAUUCUUGAGGGAUGCAGAGGAGACUGGAAUUCCCGGUGUAGCGGUGAAAUGUGUAGAGAUCGGGAGGAACACCGGUGGCGAAGGCGGGUCUCUGGGCAUUCCCUGACGCUGAGGCGCGAAAGCGUGGGGAGCAAACGGGAUUAGAUACCCCGGUAGUCCACGCGGUAAACGAUGACGACUAGGUGUGGGGGGGUUAAGUCCCUUCCGUGCCGCAGCUAACGCAUUAAGUCGUCCGCCUGGGGAGUACGGCCGCAAGGUUG
rnacentral:rRNA from 1 species